AUUGAACGCUGGCGGCGUGCCUAACACAUGCAAGUCGAGCGGUAACAGGUGUAGCAAUACAUGCUGACGAGCGGCGGACGGGUGAGUAACGCUUGGGAAUCUGCCUAUCAGUGGGGGACAACCCGGGGAAACUCGGGCUAAUACCGCAUACGAUCUACGGAUGAAAGCCGGGGACCGCAAGGCCUGGCGCUGAUAGAUGAGCCCAAGUCGGAUUAGCUAGUUGGUAGGGUAACGGCCUACCAAGGCGACGAUCCGUAACUGGUCUGAGAGGACGACCAGUCACACCGGAACUGAGACACGGUCCGGACUCCUACGGGAGGCAGCAGUGGGGAAUAUUGGACAAUGGGGGAAACCCUGAUCCAGCGACGCCGCGUGGGUGAAGAAGGCCUGCGGGUUGUAAAGCCCUUUCGGUUGGGAAGAAAAGCUGCGACCUAACACGUCGCGGCCUUGACGUAGCCAACUAAAGAAGCACCGGCUAACUCUGUGCCAGCAGCCGCGGUAAUACAGAGGGUGCG
rnacentral:rRNA from 1 species